rnacentral:rRNA from 1 species
GAUGAACGCUAGCGGCAGGCUUAACACAUGCAAGUCGAGGGGCAGCACAGGUAGCAAUACUGGGUGGCGACCGGCAAACGGGUGCGGAACACGUACACAAUCUACCUUUAUCUGGGGGAUAGCCCGAAGAAAUUCGGAUUAACACCCCAUAAAAUAACAGAGUGGCAUCACUUAAUUAUUAAAACUCCGGUGGAUAGAGAUGAGUGUGCGUCCCAUUAGCUAGUUGGUAGGGUAACGGCCUACCAAGGCGACGAUGGGUAGCGGGUGUGAGAGCACGACAGGCCACGCGGGCACUCAGACCCGGGUCCGACACCUACGGGAGGCAGCAGUGAGGAAUAUUGGUCAAUGGACGCAAGUCUGAACCAGCCAUGCCGCGUGAAGGAUGAAGGCCUUCUGGGUUGUAAACUUCUUUUAUUGGGGAAGAAAAUUAUGGUUUCUACUAUAACCGACGGUACCCAAGGAAUCAGCACCGGCUAACUCCGUGCCAGCCGCCGCCGUAACAC